rnacentral:lncRNA from 1 species
GAAAUAGUGCUGCUUCAAUGUACCAUUGAUGAGCAGUUUCCUCCUACGCGAGUUGUCUUCUGCAAGAAUGGGCUGGAGGAGUUCAGCCUGAAAGCCCAGCAGGGAAAGGUCAUCUACACUAUGGACCUGAACAUCACCUCCAGAAGUGCUGGGACAUACACGUGUGGGUACCAGCAGAGGAACAAGGAAAACUGGGCGAGGAACUCUGCUCUCAGUGCUCCCCGGACCUUGUCUGUGGCAGGUGAGACACGGCCCCACGGCGGUGAGGGUAGAAGGUUUCAGAAAACUGCUGGGGCUAGAGCUGUGUGCUGCAGCAGAGAGGGCAUGGCUCUGGGGUGGUUCCCCCUCGGGACUGUUCCCUCUCCUCAGAGGCAGCCCCUACAGAGAGACAUGCCCGGAUUCUGCACACCCUCCCCACAGGCAGGGUGCUGGCAGUGGCGGCCGUCGGCCUUGUCCUCCUGGCUGCAGGCAGCUGGUUUUGCCAUCAGGAAAGGUGCCUGCAGAGGGAGAUGCCCAAGACUCCACCAUCGCCCACGUUCAACGGGACAGGCCUCGUCCCGCGCAGCAAAUGAGAAACACCACGACAUAUGCCACGGUGACCCACACCCAGACCCGAUAGCAUUGCCACAGGGCAAGGGCACAGGAGCCUUGCCCACAGCUGCCUUUGCUCUCCUGCAGAG